rnacentral:rRNA from 1 species
AGGAGCAUUCUUAACGGGGCGAAGCUGUACCGGAAGGAGCAGUGGACUGUUAAGAAGAGAGAAUGCCGGAAUGAGUAGCGAGAGGAAGGUGAGAAUCCUUCCGGCCGAAUAUCUAAGGUUUCCAGAGUAAAGCUGAUCUGCUCUGGGUAAGUCGGGGCCUAAGGCGAGGACGAGAGUCGUAGCCGAUGGACAACAGGUGGAGAUUCCGGUACUGCGGUAUGACUGAGCUGUGGGGCC